rnacentral:rRNA from 1 species
AUUGAACGCUGGCGGCAGGCUUAACACAUGCAAGUCGAGCGGGGAUUGGGUGCUUGCACCUAAUCUUAGCGGCGGACGGGUGAGUAAUGCUUAGGAAUCUGCCAUUUAGUGGGGGACAACAUUCCGAAAGGAAUGCUAAGACCGCAUACGUCCUACGGGAGAAAGCAGGGGAUCUUCGGACCUUGCGCUAAAUGAUGAGCCUAAGUCGGAUUAGCUAGUUGGGGGGGUAAAGGCCUACCAAGGCGACGAUCUGUAGCGGGUCUGAGAGGUUGAUCCGCCACACUGGGACUGAGACACGGCCCAGACUCCUACGGGAGGCAGCAGUGGGGAAUAUUGGACAAUGGGGGGAACCCUGAUCCAGCCAUGCCGCGUGUGUGAAGAAGGCCUUUUGGUUGUAAAGCACUUUAAGCGAGGAGGAGGCUCCUGUAGAUAAUACCUACAGUGAGUGGACGUUACUCGCAGAAUAAGCACCGGCUAACUCUGUGCCAGCCGCCGCGGUAACAC